UACGGAGGAUUCAAGCGUUAUCCGGAUUUAUUGGGUUUAAAGGGUGCGUAGGCGGUCGGAUAAGUUAGAGGUGAAAUCCCGAGGCUCAACUUCGGAAUUGCCUCUGAUACUGUCUGACUAGAGUGUAGUUGCGGAAGGCGGAAUGUGUGGUGUAGCGGUGAAAUGCUUAGAUAUCACACAGAACACCGAUUGCGAAGGCAGCUUUCCAAGCUAUUACUGACGCUGAGGCACGAAAGCGUGGGGAGCGAACAGG
rnacentral:rRNA from 1 species